GACAGAGGGUGCAAACGUUGCUCGGAAUCACUGGGCGUAAAGGGCGCGUAGGCGGGAAUGUAAGUCGGGCGUGAAAUCCCCAGGCUCAACCUGGGAACUGCACUCGAAACUGCGUUUCUUGAGUAUCGGAGAGGAAAGCGGAAUUCCUGGUGUAGAGGUGAAAUUCGUAGAUAUCAGGAGGAACACCAGUGGCGAAGGGCGGCUUU
rnacentral:rRNA from 1 species